GACAAAUGUCAACCUAAAGAAUCGUUUCUUUGCUCAACUGGACCAACAUACCCCCCGGCUUCAGAGCCUGUUUCAGAAAGAAGCUUCUCGGACAGGAAAAGCUUCUGAACUCCUGGAUCUGCUCUUCAGGAUUUAUGACCUCCAGGAUCAAGUUGAUGUCCAUGUUAGACAUGCUGUGGUACUCCGGGCUCUCUCUCCAUAUAUGCAUGAGAGUGAUGUCAGCUUUUUCAAGAUGUGGGACGUGGAGCAGUCUGAUGAACCGAACAUCAAUGAUGUACCACUUGGGCUCCUCCUAAGCUAUCAGACAUCAUCAGAUGCCCAUUUUUUCUGCCCAGAGAGGAUUGCAGUUCUGAUUGAGGGUAACACUGUUAUUGAGUCCUCCACACUGUCUGAUGCAUUCAUCAUUCUCUUUGCACUUACAUAC